rnacentral:rRNA from 1 species
GACGAACGCUGGCGGCGUGCUUAACACAUGCAAGUCGAACGAAGUGGCGAACGGGUGAUUAACGCGUAAUCAACCUGCCCUUCAGAGGGUGACAACAGUUGGAAACGACUGCUAAUACCGCAUACUGAAGGAGGGGAUUGCGUCUGAUUAGCUAGUUGGCGGGGUAACGGACAACCAAGGCGAUGAUCAGUAGCCGGUCUGAGAGGAUGAACGGCCACAUGGGGACUGAUAAACGGCCCAGACUCCUACGGGAGGCAGCAGUGGGGAAUCUUCCGAAAUGGACGAAAGUCUGACGGAGCAACGCCGCGUGAGUGAAGAAGGUUUUAGGAUCGUAAAACUCUGUUGUUAGAGAAGCGGUAUCUAACCAGAAAGCCACGGCUAACUACGUGCCAGCAGCCGCGGUAAUUC